UGUAGGUCACAGACACCGCUUGGAUCCUGCAGUGCUGUCGCUGUGGCAUAGGCCAGCAGCUGCAGCUCCAAUUGGACCCCUAGUCUGGAAACCUCCAUAUGCCAUGAGUGCAGCCCUAAAAGGCAAAAAAUAAAAAAAUAAAAUAAAAUAAACUAUUGACUUUGGUAUAAUUGUAGACUUACAGAAAAGUUGCAAACAUAAUACAGAGUUCCUGUGCAUCCUUCACUCAAUUUCCCCUAAUGGUAACGUCUUACAUAUUGAUGGUGUAUUUGUCAAACCUAAGAGAUUAACCUUGGGACAUUUCUAUUAACUACCUGUAGGCUUUAUUUGGAUUUCACCAGUUUUCCCCUUCCAGGAUCCAGUUCUGGACACCACAGUACACUUGGUCAUCAUGACCUCUUCGGCUUCUCUGAUUUGUGACAGUUUCUUAGUCUUGUUUGUCUUGAUGUGAUCAGGUAUUUUGUAGAAAGUCCCUUAGUUUGGAUUUGCCUGAUGUUUUCUCAUGACAGAACUGGGGCUAUGGGUUUGGGAAGAAUGUCACAGAGGGUAAGGCGUCCCUCUCAGGGGAAUUACAUCAGGGGGUACAUAUCAAUGUAUGACCUUCAGUCUAUUUUAUUUUAUUUUAUUUUAUUUUAUUUAUUUUAGCUGUGCCUGUGGCGUGCAGAAAUUCCUGGGCCAGGCAUCAAACCUGCACCACAGCAAUGACCUGAGCUGCUACUUUUUUUUUUUUAUUCGUUUUAUUUUUUAAUGUAUGGAGGCCAUGGCCAUUUUCAAGCUGAGUAACAGAGGUCUCUGUUGCACCUCCAGGCUGCUUUCCAAACAGUUGCCAUCUCAACACUUCCUUUUCAUUUGUGUCCCUUAACAUCGCAAGAUAGGGUUAAAUAAAAGCUCAGGCUACACACAGGCUGCAGAGCAGCCUUUGAUUUAAGUAGACGCUGGAGAGAAGGUCUGAGAAAAAGAUGUCCUUAACAGGAAACACAUUUAAAAAAUCCCUUGAAGGCUGGUUCCUGUGUCACUGAAAUGUUUAGAUAAGAACACACGCACGCACGCACGCAUGCACGCACACACACACACACACACCCCAUGAAGACAUAUGCAAAUGUAUUAUUGUUAUUGGAAAGUGAAGAAAUACACCAAGGCUUCAGAGAAUAUUAACAGACAGCUCCUAGGCUGCAGUGGUGAUGAUUAAAAUCUGGUUGACAUUGGCUCUGGCUGACCAGGGUCUUUUAAGUUUUCACAUGGCAGGGAUGCUAGCACAAGUGAACAAGGAAAUACCAGACAUCUCCCUCUUGAACACAGUGCAUUGCAUUUUACCUUGUGUCUUUGUCUGUGUUUCCUAACGUCAUCGUUGAAAUAUUUGAAGUUAAAGUGUGAAGUAUUGCUUUUCCCUGGCUAAGGAAACUGAGAAGGCUGAGUGAGAUCCUGUGACUUGGUCAGAUGACUAGUUACGGAUGGAAAUGAGAUUAGAAAGCAGGUGUUUUUCCCUGUGUGCUGUUGUCAGAGAGAUUCAGGCUGAUGGCAUCCAGGAUCAACCUUUGAGGACUUCUUGCUUUGGUAUCAAACAUCUCAGGAUGAAUGAUUCGUUAGAAUUUAAAGUUAUAGCCCCAAGUUUCUCAUAGUAAACAGUCCAAAUGUUGGUUUGGAGCACCAGAUUUGUGUUCUAAAUCCCAUUUAGAGUCCCUGUAUUGAUAGAUAUGUUCAAUAGGAAGCCUGGGUGGGCAGGGGAAUGCACUAAUGAAGUUCACGCAGCAGCUCUGAUCCUUACAGCUCAGGGUCAUGGUCAGGAAGACCAACAGCUGACAAUGUUAUUGGAGGUGAUCCUAGCUUCUGAGCUACCUGAGGGUAGGGUUACACUUGGAACCCACAGAGCUCAGCUUCAUGGGAACAGAAUGAUACUUCUGAAUCCAGCCCUUGGUAGUUCCCAUUGGGCUCCCAUCCUACCAUGAAAGGAGUAAUUGCAAAACCUAGAUUGCAAGGGGCUGGUGAGAUAGAGGAUUGAUCACCAACACCCUCCUAAAAAAGCCAGCACCUAAACACAUCUUAACAUUUCAGAUAUAAUUUCUCCCUCUGGAACUUAUGAUGCUGAGACCAGAGUGGUACUGGAAUGGGGUCUCCUCCAUUAACAGAGGAGCGAUUGUAAAGUGGGUGAAAAGCUCAGGCUAAUGAAAAUGUCUUUGAAUUUCCCUUUAGUUUCACAAGUAAGAUUCUGUAGCUCUCUUGUCUUGUUUGGUUCAUGGGCAGUGAGUUUAAUGGCACUUCACACUGAGUGUGCCUCAGUCAUGGUGAGGUAUUUCAAGAAAACUCUAGUUGGGCUUCUGGAUUCUUGGAACAUUAAUAAUUUUAACGGUGACAGUCAAAGCUGGAGGAACUCCAGUUUCAGCAAGUGUUUUUAAGAGGCCGUUUAAUAAUGAGGCAUGCAGAACCCUGGGUGGGAGGGCUCCAAGCUUUUGCUGGCUGCAGGCUCUUGCAGGAUCUUGCUGUCUUCCUGGCUGGCUCUGUGUCCUUGAUCUUGCCAUGGAACCUCACUUUCUGGGUUCCAGCGGAAUGUGCAGACAAAACUCUCCCUGACCUGCCUAAUAGGUAUGUUUUGAGAAACAAGUGAUCGGACGUACAAAAGGUGGGAGAAGUCUAAAAGGAAAAGAGGGGAAAAUUACAUUUUGGAAACAGAAAUUGUGUAAUAACAAGCAGUGACAGAGUGCCUGCACAUUGGAGUUUUGUACUCAGAGCGAAGAUUUAUUUGGCACUUUGGAUUUGUUUUUUUCAGUGAGCAGAGGCUAUUUGGGGGAGAGAAAGGAGAAGAGGGAAAGAAAUUUCAAAUGCCAAGAAUAAUCUGUGUCUAUAAUCUACCAGAAAUUCUACUGAUUUACAACUCUACUUAGAUCAAAAAGAUCUUUUGAUGAUGAUUCACACCACGUCUGUUUUCCACAUUGUUUCAUAGUUUGAGUUUCCUCCUCCCACCCCAUGCCCCUAGCCAUUGUCUAAAGCUCAAAAAGCAAAAUCGUUUAGAAAGGGGGCCCUCUGAGGCCUUAGAACAAUGAGUGACCUAAUUUUUUCCACCAGUCCUGUUACUGAGCUUGGGUGUCUCACCUUUUUAGCCUUCCAAACACUGGCUUAUCUUGGGGACCUUAUGAAACACUGUGCCUAAGAAUAACCUGGUGGUUUAAAAACAAAUGGACUAAGCCCUGUGUGAGCCUCCCAUGAAGGGCAUUUCUAAGUCCCUCUUAAAAGCUUGAGCUUGGAUCAGAGUGGGUAGUAUUAUUUGGGGGUUAACUGCUGAGUGUAGUUUCCUCUCCUCCCCCUUUUGUCAAGGUCUUGUUUCCUCUGAGCUUUCUCCCAGUUCCAGAGGAUACGUGGUCAUGGGGCAGUGUGGACACUGGUGAGUCUGGCCGGAGGAUGUGUCUCUCCCUUCAGAUCCAGGUACUGAAGGCUCCUGGCUGAAUGGGGAGAAUGCUUAACAUCUUGGCCACAGGUGGGGUCAAAGUUGGUCCUUCCUCUCAUAGACCAAACCCAGAUCUUGCUGAGCUCAGGGGUUACUGCGUUAGCAGUGGCUUAACCACUGCUCCCUCAUGUUCCAUGUUCCAUUGCUCUGACUUGCCCUGGCUUGUCCCACUGAGGAGGACAGUAUGAGGACUGGAGAAACUUUACUUGGUCAUAAUUCUGUCACUAGAUAAGAGCGCAUAUCUGCUCCUAUCCAUCACCUUAGCAGCUGUUAUGUUCCUAUUCCUCUGUAGGGCUCAUGCCCACUCAUAGGGCACUUUCCCUGGGUUGUUCAUCUUUCUAGAAAAUUCAGUGGUGCCAUUUUAUUCCAAUCUUGAGCACGUCUUAACAAAUUCCCUCUCAGUUAUUCACUUGCUAAGGGAGUGGCCUGGAGUGAGAGGAGAUCCCUGGACUAAGGGUCAGGAGACAGGAGUGCUGGGCCCAGCUCUGCCACCUGCUUCAUGACCUAGGGAAUGCUCUUUAUGUUCUAAGGAUAUUAUUUCUCUUGCUAGUAAGUUCAGGCAAUUAGACUAAGCUCAUCUCUAAAGGCCAAUGCCAUAAUAAAUAUAAAAUAGAUUUGAUAUAAAAGAUUUAUAACCUGUAGCAUUCUGGUCAUAGCUAUGUAUAUAAGUGCCAGUAGAUCAGAGAGAAAAAGAAAUUAGUGAAAGAAAGUUCUUACCUAACUAUUCUCACCUCUAUUAAAGCAUGAAAAUCAAUUAUUUUUAAUGGAGUUUUGCCUAUUCAGUAUAACAUAAGGAAAGAAAACUCUUCCUGUAUUGGGUUCAGGCUUCUGAAGUCUACCAGUGGCUAUUUUAUUACCUGAAAGUGAUAUCAAGAGUAAAACUUAUAUGUUUUAACCGUGGUAAUUUGUAAGCUAUUGGCUAAUAUUAAAUAAUAGUGGUGAUUUACCAAAAUCCUUUUUUUCUGAAAAUUAGUUAUGCGAAACUGUUAUUUAUUUACAAGUUUAAGAUAGAAGAAGAGAUGGAAAUACUGCCUUAAACCAGACGAAGUGUGGGCAGAUGCUGGCCAAGCUUUCCUUCCAUUUGUGGUUCCUUGCAGGCUAAGCAUUCAGCCUCUGGGGCAAAGGCAGACAAUUGUGUUAAAUCAUGCAAAGCAGAGUGGCAAUUUGGUGAGGCACACAAAAUGGAUUGAAAGCAGAGAACUAGUUAAUUUUUCAGUAUUGAUCCUGGACCUGAAGGCUGCAGAGAUAAAGAAUAAGGAUUAACACUUAUAAUAUGCUACCUGCUUGAAAAAAGAAACUUUUUGCAAAAAGCACAACACAUACAUUUCAGCUUUUUACAAUUUUCCAAUUAAGUAUUAACUCUUUAACUCAUGAAAGAUUUUGGGAUUUUCAGCCCAACAAUCAUGCAGUUGCAUGAGGAUCUUUAUAAAUGUCCUGUAACCUCACCAAAAUGUCCCAAAUUACCCACCUCUUUGCUUUAAUUAGAAAAAAGUUUAUGGAGUUCCCGUCGUGGCACAGUGGUUAACGAAUCUGACUAGGAACCAUGACGCUGCAGGUUCAAUCCCUGGCCUUGCUGUGGUCUAGGUUGCAGAUAUGGCUCGGAUCCCAAGUUGCUGUGGCUCUGGCAUAGGCUAGUGGCUACAGCUCCGAUUAGACCCUUAGCCUGGGAACCUCCAUAUGCCAUGGGAGCGGCCCUAGCAAAGACAAA
rnacentral:lncRNA from 1 species